AUUGAACGCUGGCGGCAUGCCUUACACAUGCAAGUCGAACGGUAACGCGGGGCAACCUGGCGACGAGUGGCGAACGGGUGAGUAAUGCAUCGGAACGUGCCCAGUAGUGGGGGAUAGCCCGGCGAAAGCCGGAUUAAUACCGCAUACGACCUACUGGAGAAAGCGGGGGAUCGCAGGACCUCGCGCUAUUGGAGCGGCCGAUGUCAGAUUAGGUUGUUGGUGGGGUAAAGGCCUACCAAGCCUACGAUCUGUAGCUGGUCUGAGAGGAUGACCAGCCACACUGGGACUGAGACACGGCCCAGACUCCUACGGGAGGCAGCAGUGGGGAAUUUUGGACAAUGGGGGCAACCCUGAUCCAGCCAUGCCGCGUGCGGGAAGAAGGCCUUCGGGUUGUAAACCGCUUUUGUCAGGGAAGAAAUUGUCCGGGCUAAUACCUCGGGCCGAUGACGGUACCUGAAGAAUAAGCACCGGCUAACUACGUGCCAGCAGCCGCGGUAAAAC
rnacentral:rRNA from 1 species